GCAGUAUGGGCUUUGUUCAUUGUUGAAGGCCGUACGGUUACCUAUAGUUGUUAAUGUCUGUGUCAUUUUGGUCUAUUGUAGACAGUUGUCUCAUUGGCAAUCAUACCACAUCUUCUUUUUUUUUAUAUCUAAUGUAAUUAUAUGACAUUAAAAGGAAUCCAAGAAAUAAAAAAAAAUCUACUGGCUUGUAUUUGGAGGCUUCAGAUGGUGAACUAAUGUAUGUAUGUGAAGC
rnacentral:lncRNA from 1 species